rnacentral:lncRNA from 1 species
CGCCACGGGAGGAGCGCGCGGAACCCGGAAGAACUAGGCGGAGCGAAACUGAAACCACCCGCAACGAACUUUGACGAAAGCCUUUUGCAGCUGAAAUCCGCAAAUGCCUUUAAUAUCCUCCCUGAGGCGCGCAAGAGACAAAAAUGACUUUAGAGCGACCCCGACCCUAUUUUACCACCCACAGACACACAAAAACGAACACAGCAAAAGUAGAAAACCCAAUCCCUGUGCUCUUUAUGAAACAGGCAUUUAAGAACAGAAAGAAGCAGUGCUCAAGUGGGAGGAAAUAUUUGCAAAACAAUGAAGUGAAAUGAUCUCCUGGGAAAGGUGGGAAGCAGGAGAAAGGCGGAGUGAAACGACAGGGAGUUUCUCAGCGCUUCGGCUCCACCCGGGAGACCAAAGCCCCGGACGGCUCAGCGGGAGGCUCAGAUGUUUCCCCGCGCGAUGUCCUCUGUUUUCCGUCGCCAAGUCCGGGUCCCAAAGGCGCUGGCUGAGAGCCCCACGUUCCUUCGUUGCAUCCUGGCUCUGCUUCUGCUGCGGGACUGUCCCUGGACCGCACAGGCCGAGGACCUGGACUAAGGAAUGGAUUCACCAGAGGAAAUUAUAUUUCAUGAGAUGGAACAUUCUGGGAAUGCUGACACUCAGCAGACCCCUUACUAUAUCAAAAGUAAGAAAUUGCAUGCUUGGUCAUUUGGGUCCCACAAGUCCUCUGUCAAAUUUGCUCAUUUGUGUUUAA